GACGGACGCUGGCGGCGUGCUUAACACAUGCAAGUCGAGCGGUAAGGCCCUUUCGGGGGUACACGAGCGGCGAACGGGUGAGUAACACGUGGGUGAUCUGCCCUGCACUUCGGGAUAAGCCUGGGAAACUGGGUCUAAUACCGGAUAUGACCACUGAUCGCAUGGUUGGUGGUGGAAAGGUUUACUGGUGCAGGAUGGGCCCGCGGCCUAUCAGCUUGUUGGUGGGGUAAUGGCCUACCAAGGCGACGACGGGUAGCCGACCUGAGAGGGUGGCCGGCCACACUGGGACUGAGACACGGCCCAGACUCCUACGGGAGGCAGCAGUGGGGAAUAUUGCACAAUGGGCGAAAGCCUGAUGCAGCGACGCCGCGUGAGGGAUGACGGCCUUCGGGUUGUAAACCUCUUUCAGCAGGGACGAAGCGCAAGUGACGGUACCUGCAGAAGAAGCACCGGCCAACUACGUGCCAGCAGCCGCAGUAA
rnacentral:rRNA from 1 species